GGCCACAGCCAUAUCACCCUACAGCCCAAGACCAGUUACUCACUGAAGAUAAUCAGGGCUGUGUCUGGUAGUACCUGGAUGGGAGACCACAUGGGAAAACUUGGUUGCUGUUGGAA
ensembl:rRNA 5S_rRNA 5S ribosomal RNA